GAAAGUUGCAGCUAAUGAAAAGCAGACUUAUUCAGCAGAACCCCCAAGAGGAUGCAGACUAAGAAAUGCCAAUGCUUUGAUGGGUACAAGGAAGAAAUAGGACUAAGACAAGACAAAUAAUGGAGGACUUACAUGGCAGAUGUAAAUCACCCACAUCUCUUUCUCCAACUCCUUAUGCUCGAUGCUCAGCAUUGAAGCCCUUUACCCCAGGGACAAAUACAAGUUUGACAAAGCCAUCUGAGGAAAAUAAGGCAACAAGGAGAAGUGCAGAGAUAAGGUGGGGAAAGCCCCUUAUAAAACCAUCAGAUCUCGUGAGAACUCAUCCACAUCACAAGAACAGCAGGAAGAAACGGAACAAGGGGAAUGCAAUCUCACAGGAUGGAAAUAACCUGUGGUGAAUUGUUGCCAUCCAGAUCCACUUUUAAGUCCACAUGGUUCAUUCAUUUUGGACUAGAUCCUGGUACAGCCCAGUGAACUGAUGUUCUUGAAAUCAGGCACAGAGGCUCUGAAGUAAUGCAUUACAUUUGCAUCCAUGAUUUGCUUAAAAUAUUCCAUUUAGCCUUUCCUCCCAGGAAACAAAGCCAGCAGUAUUUGAUUAUUGAAUAGCUCUUUUUGGAUGCUUAGUUUGAGAAGAUUUUAUUAAGAUUAUGGGAAACUUGAAUUUUACAAAAUGAAUCAUGAGUUAUAUUUCAGUUUUGAUUUGUCUCCAAGGGUUGAAAUACAUAGAAGUCUAGGAUACAUUAUAUAUUAGCUCUAUUUUAGCAUGCAUUUAAUGCAAUCACAGGCAAAAAUCAAAUGCUUUAAAGAAAAAGAUUGCAGUUUUAGAAAUGAAGGAUGUGAAAAAGGACGAAUCUAUAUAGGUAAAAGUGAACUUAGAGUAAUAACAUGCAAUAUAGUCUAUGUAGAUAUGCAUAUUUUAAUUGUAUAUUACUAUUUGUCCCAUCACAAUAAUUGGUUUAAACAAUGGUAUAUUUAUAUGUGUAAAACAAAGUUUGGUAUGUGUGUGCACACAUAUACACACAGAAACACACACACACACUUUUCUAAUCAACUAACAUUUAAGAAAUACCACUGAAGGAAAUAUUAAUGACAGAAAGAGCUUUUCUGCACACAGAAAAGCACACACACUCCUAUGCAGCAUACAAAUAGGUAAGAGUACAUGUUUUCCCUAAAAGAAGAGCAAGAGACCAACGGAAUAAGCCCCUUUACUGGGUUCCCAUAUGGCUGAAUGGUCUCAAUAUCUCAAUCUUUAGAACAUACCUCAGCAUCUCCACAUCUCCUCCUACCUCUGUCCUGUGUUGCUGGGACACAGGGGCAGGAAAUGGAUGCAUCCCUUCCCAUGCACGCCCAAACAGCUCCUCAACUCAAUCUCAGCCCCAUGCCUCUUCUGUUCUUCUGUGAGGAAGUGGCUUCUCAGGACCUAUCAGAGAGCUCAGCACAUGUUAACUUCUCACACAGGCUUAAGCCAACAUAAUCGUCAACAUUAAAAAGUAACAACAUAAUAUUUGGGCGGAUGAUGUUUUCUGUUCAUAAUCAACAGUGACUUCUCAGAGUGGCCUUUUCUGACCUCUCUAUCUAAAUAGUACUUUAUGUUUUCUCUAUCCCCUCCCUAAAUUACUCUGGUUCAUUUUUUGUCAUAGAAUUUUUACUGCUGAAUAGUGUCAUAGACCUAUUCACUUAUUUAUUUUCUCACUCUUCCCAGUAAAAUAUAAGAUGCAUAGAGAAGAAUUUUGUUUUGUUCCCCUCUGCCAUAUGGGAAAGAACAGUGGUGGAAUUUAGUAGAUGCUCAAUAAAUAUUUGUUGAUUUAAUAAAAAAAUUCAUUUGUUGGGUUUCUUAAGUUGGCUUAUCCCAGAUGCAGAUCCAAAGCCGAGGACGGAGUUGCAAGUGAUGCAUUAAGGAUGUGUUUCCAGGAGCAUCCAGAAAGGAGACGGGGACAUGGAGCAGGACAGGAAAGGCGAGGGAAGCAAGAGUUUCAUUUUAGGUGGACACAGGUAGUUCUCAUGAGAAGACCUGAGAUGUAAAUUUCAACUCUAAGUUUUUCACGUGGAAACAAAGGAACUAUACUUCCCACCAAAAAAUACCUAAUUACUCGGAGCCCCUGAUUGGGAGGGAGGUAGUAAACUUUCCCUCUUAGUUUGUUGUUGCCACACACCUUACUUAAUUUUCUUGAACCACUUCGCUCUUUAGAUGGUGACAAUUAACUAAGUUGAGCAACUAAUGUUUCAAAAAGAUAGAGGGUCGCCUACUUUCCUAUUAAAUAAAGCAUAUACUUUAAAGUGGCCUAAUUUUUACACAGUGUCAUCCGGUCUGUGAAGCAUUGUCAUAUGUAGUAUUGAUAUCCUUUGAUUCUCAAAACAACCCUUUAAGCUAGAAGUAAAAAUGUUCUUUCUUUCUCUUGCCACAUUUUGAAAAACUGAGAUCCAGAUAGGUUAAGUUUUAGUAGUUGAGCCAAGAUUAAAAAAGGAGUUGAUUGCAGAAAUUAUUUAUGUUCUUACUGCUAUACCAAGCUGUGACACAAAGAGAUUAUUCUGCCUUUAUUUUCUUAAUCACUAAGAUUCUAAAAAUAAAAAACUCCAGGCCAAGUAAGUGGGGAAGAACAAAUCAAACCAGAUUAAUGAGGGAAAUGUUAACGACAGAAAGAGCUUGGAGGCUCUCCAAUCACAUUGAGCAGGGGCUGCUGAUUCCAUCUGUGCUGGAGAAUAGUGUGACACUGCGCCACCCCCAUGCUACCCGCCCCUCUGUUUAGUCCCUCAUACUUACCAUGUGAGUUGUCUUUAUUCCGUUGAAUCCUACUCUAAAUUCUGCACUGUAAGAUUUUCAAGAUUUCACUAAUGGAAAAGAAUUUGAAAAAUAACAUUUGAAGAAUGGUAGUGGGCUUUAAUAGUCAAUGAAGAGUGAAAAGAAGUAUUUGUUUGGACAAAAACCGAAUCCAGAAAACAGCUGAUGACCUACAUACUAGCUGGAAUGACUUUGC